rnacentral:tRNA from 1 species
GGGGCGAUAGCUCAGCUGGGAGAGCGCCUGCUUUGCACGCAGGAGGUCAGGGGUUCGAGCCCCCUUCGCUCCACCA